rnacentral:misc_RNA from 1 species
AGUAAGUAUGAGUGAGGAAGAUAACGAAGGGGACGAUGACUGCUUGGAUGAUUGGGAAGCUGUUGCUGAUGCUUUAGCUGCCACUGAUAAGGAGCAGGAGCAGCAUAACUCUAGCUUGGAUUCAGCUCCACAGGUUCAUAUGAGUUUUCAACAAGAAGUUUCUGACGGGAAGGUACCAGCGCUGGAUACAUCACAGCAGAAUCCCAAGGGCAGAGGAACUAUACCUGUAUUUCCUGUCAGCUUUCAGGCGUGGAGGCCCGAUGAUGAAUUCCGUCCCCAAAGUCUUCCAAAUUUGUCAAAACAAUAUACUUUCCCUAUGAAUUCAGGGCGUCAUUGCCGGGGAGGCUCUGUCUGGGGAUGUAAAAGUGCAGCGAU